rnacentral:rRNA from 1 species
AUUGAACGCUGGCGGCAUGCUUUACACAUGCAAGUCGAACGGCAGCGCGGGCUUCGGCCUGGCGGCGAGUGGCGAACGGGUGAGUAAUACAUCGGAACGUGCCCAGUAGUGGGGGAUAGCUCGGCGAAAGCCGGAUUAAUACCGCAUACGACCUGAGGGUGAAAGCGGGGGAUCUUCGGACCUCGCGCUAUUGGAGCGGCCGAUGGCAGAUUAGCUAGUUGGUGGGGUAAAGGCCUACCAAGGCGACGAUCUGUAGCUGGUCUGAGAGGACGACCAGCCACACUGGGACUGAGACACGGCCCAGACUCCUACGGGAGGCAGCAGUGGGGAAUUUUGGACAAUGGGCGAAAGCCUGAUCCAGCAAUGCCGCGUGUGUGAUGAAGGCCUUCGGGUUGUAAAGCACUUUUGGCGGGAACGAAAAGGACUGUGCCAAUACCACUGUUCGAUGACGGUACCCGCAGAAUAAGCACCGUCUAACUACGUG